CAGAGAGCACAGAUUUUUUUGAUUAUGUAGAUUUCUUUUCCUACUGCAGUUUCAUAUGCAAAGCAUGCAUCGGCCACAUCCAUGCUAUCUCCUAAAGCAGUCAUUCUGAAACCCAAUCUGGGGACAGUGCAGACUAAAUAAAAUUUCAUUUUGAUUUGGCCUCCCGCUGCGAACGGGACUGCUUUGUCUCGGCCGACAGAACCAGCAAGCCAGAAAGGUACCGAAACUGGGAACCGAUGUUCCUCUGGAACCAGCAUGAAAACUCCACAAAAUCCCUAGUUUGUCUCCACAGUGUUCUUAUUCCAAGUGUGCUGAGAGAAAAGGCCAGACAUGGAUACCUUAAUUUUGUAAAACAGAAAGAUUUCGCCGGAGAAGAAAGUUACCAUCGGGACGCUGUACUUCUCCAGUUUCACGCUCGCUCUGGAUUUCCCUCCUGCCCCCCCUUCUCCCCCCAGCAGCACUAAAAGCAAAAGGAUGGUGUGAGGGAAACACAAAGAAGGUCCCUUGCAGAGAAACACAUCCUGACAUCAAGCAUUUUCAUCACGGCUGACAGAGAAAUGGCAUGUUCAAUUUGCACUUUAUUUACAAACGCUAAACAUCUACGCACACAUGCCUACCCACCUUUCAUAUCCCUGUAUCUGAAACCCAAGCGAGGAAAACAGCCCAUGCGCGUGAAGCAAGCGAGGGAAUGUGCCGCUGCCUCAUCCAGCACGUUUACAAAUGGACCAACCACAAAUACACCACAGGGAAAUGUGCUUCUCUGUGUGCCAAAAUGCCAGGAUGUUAAUUCACAGAGAUGGCAAGGCCUGCUGAGAAUCAAGGUCUUCUGGACAUGGCACAGCCUUUGUGCUCCUGAACUCAUAGCAGCCGUGGUUAUCUGCAUGAGACACACAUAUCUCUGUUCAGCGUGUUGGUGUAACUGAGAUAAAUGCCAAGCUGGCUCCCUGCUGUGCGUGGUCCGACACCCCUUGGCCAUAGAGAUUCCAGCUAUUUAAGUUUGGAAAUGACAUUUCUUCACACGUCUUCCAAGAUAGCAAUGUAUGUCAAUCACCGGGAGCUCUGCCAAUGACAAUGCCAAUGGAUUUGAAUUUCCCAUUCAUGCUAGGGUGAAGGGGCUAUCUCUUUGACUUCUCCGACUGGGGCCUUUCAUCUCACCCAGGAAAGUUUAUUUCCCAAGGAAUUUUCUUUGUGGUCUCAAACUUGAAUGACCUUCCUUUUAUAACCUCUGAUAUCACCCAGGGUUUUAUUGCCAGGAAGUACCUCUUAGUUGACAUGCUUAAUACUGGGUUCCUGUGAUCUAUUCUAGGGAACCCCGAAACUUAGAGAGAAAACUGAGGAAAAUGAUCUGGUUUCCAGGUUUGGGAAUACCACUGAACCACUGACCCUUAAGGAUACAUGGAAAAAUAACCUGUAACAUUCAAAUUCUACAAAAUACAUUGUGUUCAUACAACCGGAAGGUAUCUCCAUAUAUCAAUAUGAUUGUGGAGUUUUGUGAAAUGCUGUGUGCAUCAUGGACGCCGAAAUACUGUGGAUACCUCUCAAAUGCAUAGCAAUUUGUCUCCAUGGGUCACUCACAAAUAUCAGAUGGUAAUAGGUCAAGUAUGAGGGGAGAGAGAUAAUCUGCACAACAGUCACGUUUCUCUCAUAUUUGCACACACCUUAGCCUUUAGGUGGCCCGAAGAUUUUUUCCACAUACGCAGUUUGCAAAUGUGGUUUGAAGGGGUGAGCGAUGCUAUUGUCAUCCAAGGGAAGGUAGUUUUAGGAAAAAGCAAGAGAUGUGAGCUUGAAGGAACAUUCUACCCAUCCUUCCUCUUUACCACACCCCAGUGACAAGAAGGAUACCUAGUUGGCCUCCCUAGGUACCCUCCUGUCCUGGCAGAAUAUCUAAGAGCAAUGCAGGGCUGCUUCCACCCACCUGACCAGCUCUCACAUCGAGGAAGAAAAAGGGACAGCUUAUCUAAUAACAAGACUUACUGUUCUGAAAGGAACUCCUAUUUUUCUCUGCUUGGACCAGGAGAGGCUUGUUGUCCAUCCUGGGUGUGGCCAUCCUCACCAAGGGCUAUGGAAAACGUCUCUGGGAAGUUCCAAACCAAUAAGCAAAGAUUUGGCAAAUCCCUGUGUUCCUCAGACUAAUAACGUCUUCAAAAGAGGGACAUAUUAGUCAACUCUGAUAAAAUACUUGAGAUGAUCAACUUAGAAGAAAAAAUAUUAUUUCAGAGCUACUAAUGCAUGGUGGGUUAACCCUGCUAUUUUUUGUAAAGUAACAUCUCAUAGGAGGGCAGCAGAGCCUAGAUCCAAACCUAAGAAAUGAGAGGUCCCCUUUAAAGGCACGCCUUCAUUGGCCUGAAACCCCUUUCUAGAAGCAGUGGGCUGAUGAUCCCAUUUUCUAACCCACAGGGCUUUUGAGGACAUCUCAGAAUCAAGCUAAGAGAGAAACAAUCCUAAGGCCCAAAUCCUUAAGACUAUUGCAGACUGGUUCUCACAUUUCUCAGGAAGUGUUCUGUCUCCCUUUGAGCUUCACUGAAUGUGUUCCUAGUGCAGAGUCAGUUUUACAGUAUUUGACUUUCUGACUAGUAUUUUUGGUCUGGUGGUUUAGGGUGGCCACUAAAAACCCCACCUUUCCCUUUGGCCUUGGCAGCUAUGAAAAACUCAGAAGAGACAGAAAUGCAACUGAAAACGUCCAGCUGCAAUGUGACUUCUAAGCUGAUGAUUUAAGAAUCUGGUUUACCUCCUGUCCACACCUGGUCCCUCCAGGUCUGAGUCCCACACAGGCUACUACUGUCAUGCUCAGAGCCGACUCUCAAACUCUACUGCCCACCCCAGAAGGUGGAAAUGUUUCUCCUUUAUUUUUCCAAUACUGGAAAAGUGAACCAAAAGUUCUUUCUCUCUAGGGGAAGACAUAAAACUAAAACUAAACACUACAACCAAAAUGCUUGACCAGAGUGCCUGCCAUGCACAGUAGACUCCCAAUCUGCAUAGCUUCAUUACAGGUCUGACUGUUGCAACUAUGGUUGAAUAUGAAAAUUUAUAGCACCUUCAGUUUCCAAGGAAUUUUUUUUCUAAACAAAAUGAAAUAUUCUACUUACCAAUCUGGAAAUGAUACUCAGUUUAUUAAAAAUGCCUGCCAGUUCUUUGACCAUAGUCCUGGGAGGAGGAAAAAAAAACCUCAAUGAUACAGACCCAGCUUCUUGAACAAGCAGACCCACUAUGUGAGUUUCUAAGUAAGCAGACCCAUGGCAGGCUUCUUAGUCCCACUGUGUGGGUUUUUAAGCGAGAAAAACUUGUAUACCUCUGCCCUCAGCUCUGCUCCUUCAGCUCCUUCACAGUCAGAGUUGGAAGCUAAUAAAGUAGCCAAACAAAGGAACAAACCACAGUACCUCCUUCCCCCAAGCUACCUGGAAGCUCCAGGGCAGUAGUCUAGGUACACGGUGUCCACAUUACAUCCUACCAGUGCCUACACAGAUGUAGCUGGGGGAGGCUGAUAUACAAACAAACAAGGGUGCGAGUGGGCUGUACAUAGAGGAAGAGAUGGCUUCGCUAGAUGCCUUUCAGAUGCAGUUAUCCCAUACAGCCCUCAGAUGACACACAAUAUUACAUCUAAGAGUGUUCUGUGGACUGUGUUAGCGUGUUAGCAUGUUAGCAUUCCAUCUAGGCUCCAUCCAACAGUUACCUAUCAACCUUCAGGUAGGCCUGGCUUGCUAUGAAAGGGACUAU
rnacentral:lncRNA from 1 species